rnacentral:rRNA from 1 species
AUGUAUCUGUUAUCAUUUCGAAAUGAAUGCAUGGGGUACGGGCAGGCUGGCUACUGCAGCUGUACAGGCAUUGCAACAGUUCUUGGAAGCAGCCAGGCUCCGCAAGGUUUCGCGGUUGGAAAUCCGUGGGAAGAUGCGCGCAAUGUGGCAUCAGUCAGCAUUGGAUGGAUCCAUUCAACACGGCAAGUUUGCCUUCAAGGCUACAUGGAAGUUGGGGAUGACGGAGUGACUCACAAAAAUAUUUGGAGGUCUAGCCGGGAGGAAAAAUGGGGACCUUGCAAGCGCAGUCGCGUUACUGGAGCAAUUCAUCUCACAGACAACAUUGUGCUCCCUCGGAGAAGGGCUAACGGCUGGAUGGAGGUCGAGUUGGGUGAGUUCUACAACGAGGAAGACGACGAUGAGGUGUCUGUCAGCCUGAUGCAGACAACAGGAGGAGUACAAGAGUGGUCUUGUUGUGUUGGGUGUCGAGGUUAG